ACAUGUAUUCAUGGGAAUAGCUGUUGCGGAAUGUUUUACAGUAAUCAAAUAAAUCAUAAAUCAUUUAAAAAAUGAAUAUCUCCACUAGUUUUUACUUUCUUGUAGUAUUGAUGUAGUUCUAUCAAUCUAAAAAUUAUGGUCAGAUAUAAAUUGCUGUACAGUGUUCUAAUCAAAUGAGGGUAAAUGUUGGUAGGUCCAUUUAAAUUAUGCUAGAAUAAAGAUGCUGUCAGACAUGUGCGUAUGUGCAAACAACUUAUGCUUACCCCUUUCCUUCUCCUUUCCCUUUUGGACUUCCAUAGUAUUCUAUCUCCUGCCAGAGCCCCUAGGGUUUCAAAACCCAAGGAUAUAUAUGUUAGUGAAUGAUACAGAUUUCACCCAUAACAUUCAAGGUUGUCUCAUGGACAAGGUGCCAGGUACAACAGCAUCCACCACCUGUACUAUGACCACCACCACCACGACAUCUCGUAGUGCACCAACAACAGUUACCCCCGGCAGUACACCCACCUCCUCCACCCCCACCACAUCUUCUAUCAUCACAGAUAGUACACAGUCCCCAACGCCUUCCCAUGCCUCUCACACCUCAGAACAAUUUAGUGCGACAUCUGGAUAUGGUAUGCUGGUCAUACUGUUGACAUCUCUGGGUUUAAACAUAACAUUGUCAUGGUUGUUACUGAAGCAGAGAAGCCGCCACCAACAGCAACCCAUAAACCUAAGUCUAGACUAUGUUGGAGCUCCUGGAGAAGCUGAAGCAGAGUCGUUAGCGGGUGAUUCCCUGCCCUAGAACUGGCUGCCUACUCCAGUGUUCUAGAGACAUCAGUAACAGUGUUCCAGAGACGGCAGAUGGAUUACAGAGGACGGGCCUGCUGUACUCCCAACACUGUCUCCAUGAGAGACUGCCAAUCCACCAGUCUGUGACUACAGAGACUGUUACUGUCAAACACCUGCAUCAGGACACCCUCAGACCGGUCUUUGGCUAUGGACUAGAGACCUCAACAGGAGAACCAACCUCAGUCACAACAUGAGCCCCACACCAUUCCACAGACAUUGACAGACCUGCAUGUGAAGCAUGUUCAGAUACUAUGGCACAUUAGGGCCCGUUUCACACUGCCUGCGUUGAGUGUGUGUGGUGGCUGCGUUACCUGUUGAUUUUCAUGUCAGUGCCCUUGCUAACAGGUUAGAACAUGCACAAUGCUUGACUGAGAUGUGCAGUCAUAUCGAGUCGAGUUUCAGUGUGGCGACUAUUUGUUACACGUGAGAUAAGAUAAUCUCAGUAAAAAAGACAUGUUGACAUUAUACCACCAACCAACAUUAUAACUGGCGUCUUUCAUUGCAGUUUCGAGGUAUGGGCUAUAUCGCACAGACAUGACAGAAAUAUAAAUGUCCCUCUCUCACUUAUCAUGCUUAUAAUAUAAUAUAAUAUAAGAGUAUAAUAUUCUCUAAUUAAUCAUGUCUGAAUUGUGUCUUGUUUCUUUCUGACUAACUAUUGAGUUUGACAUAGUUCAUGUUUACAAAUGAUAUGUUGCGGAGAAACUAGCAACGAUCCACAAACAGGCGUCGAGAGGCUGAAUGUGAAGUUUAUUUGUGUUAUCUAAACUUUUACGCAAUCAGAACUUGUUGUGUGUUUGGUAGCACUCCCAACUCCUGGGGGGUAUUCGUCGUAGCUCGCUAAGCGGUUUAGCGAGCUAAUUUUCAGGCUAAGAUAAAAAAAACGCCCCUCUUUUUGGUUCGUGGAAGCAACUUUUGAUAAAUCACCAUAGUUACAUAUCGAUUAGCACUAACCU
rnacentral:lncRNA from 1 species